rnacentral:rRNA from 1 species
AACCUUCGCAAUGCGCGUAAGCGUGACGAGGGAACCCCGAGUGCCAGCCUACAAGGUUGGCUUUUGUGGAGUCUAAAAAGCUCUAUGAAUAAAGACUGGGCAAGACUGGUGCCAGCCUCCGCGGUAACACCAGCAGUUUGAGUGGUACCCGGUAUUAUUGGGCUUAAAGCGUCCGUAGUCGGAUGGGUCAGUCCCCUGUGAAAUCCUACGGCUUAACCGUAGGAAUUGCAGGGGAUACUGCUUAUCUUGAGGCCGGGAGAGGACAGGGGUACUUCUAGGGUAGUAGUGAAAUGCUAUAAUCCUAGGAGGACCACCAGUAGCGAAGGCGCCUGUCUGGAACGGGCCUGACGAUGAGGGACGAGAGCUAGGGGAGCGAACCGGAUUAGAUACCCGGGUAGUCCUAGCCGUAAACGAUGCGGACUGAGUGUUGCGCGACCCUUGGGGUCGCGCAGUGCUGAAGGGAAACCGUUAAGUCCGCCGCCUGGGGAGUACGUCGCAAGGCU